GAACACAAUGGGAAAAUGUGACCUAACAUGGGACAUGAAAGCAGCAUUGUAUGGGAAGGAGGCUGACUCUCCAGCCUGGAAACAGAUCAGGAAUAAAGGAGUGCUGCACACCUGCUUUGCUUUGCAUAAAGGGUUCUCUUCCAUCUGAUCCACCUCGCAUUGAUGUCCCUGAACUUCCUGCAGCAGAGAACAGCAAAGUCUCUCUGGUCCUUGGGGUAUUGGUUCUGUGCUGUGGCUCAUUGCACAGCUCAUGUGAUGGCUUUUUUUUCUUUAGGCUCAAACUGGAAAAUAAAUAUGUGCUGAAGAACCUGG